rnacentral:rRNA from 1 species
AGGGAAUCUUCGGCAAUGGACGGAAGUCUGACCGAGCAACGCCGCGUGAGUGAAGAAGGUUUUCGGAUCGUAAAGCUCUGUUGUAAGAGAAGAACGGGUGUGAGAGUGGAAAGUUCACACUGUGACGGUAUCUUACCAGAAAGGGACGGCUAACUACGUGCCAGCAGCCGCGGUAAUACGUAGGUCCCGAGCGUUGUCCGGAUUUAUUGGGCGUAAAGCGAGCGCAGGCGGUUAGAUAAGUCUGAAGUUAAAGGCUGUGGCUUAACCAUAGUACGCUUUGGAAACUGUUUAACUUGAGUGCAAGAGGGGAGAGUGGAAUUCCAUGUGUAGCGGUGAAAUGCGUAGAUAUAUGGAGGAACACCGGUGGCGAAAGCGGCUCUCUGGCUUGUAACUGACGCUGAGGCUCGAAAGCGUGGGGAGCAAACAGGAUUAGAUACCCUGGUAGUCCACGCCGUAAACGAUGAGUGCUAGGUGUUAGACCCUUUCCGGGGUUUAGUGCCGCAGCUAACGCAUUAAGCACUCCGCCUGGGGAGUACGACCGCAAGGUUG